GCAGGAGCAGGGGGAGAGAAGAGCUGUUCCAAUUCCAGGGAGGCCAGCAGAGCCAGGUUUUAAAAGGGGAAACAGUCAAGGAUGCUGAGGAGGAAACCCCAUGGAUGGAGAGCUUACCUAUUGUGGAACAGCAGAAGACUGCCGGAGAGCCAUUGCCCUCUUCAGAUGGGGAGGAGUCCAGACCAAGCAGCAGACCGUUCCAGCUCCCUGCUCUUGAGUACUUUGCACCUGUUUGCUCCUGGGAUCUUGACCCUGUGCCUGGCUAUCAACGUGUGACUCUUUUCAGAGCCCCCUGGACUACGGAAUUGGCAACCGACCCCUCUCCUGGCA